UAAGGAAUGGUCCAGCAAUUCGUGCCACUAAGGGAUUUGAAGGGUUAACAUUGAGGCCUGGGUUUAGGUGAGAAGAGAACAAAGGGAUUUCUUCAGAGAAAAACUGCUGACUCUGCACGGACGUGCAGUAACUUCUGACAUCCGGCCAAGAGACCACCAGAUAAGGAGGAAGAAUAUGAGCCUCCCCGUCCGAGCGGCCCCCGAGAGACUAACAGAGACUGAUAAGCAGGCGCACCUGGGAGGACUUCGGAUUCGGGAAAUCAAUUAUAAUAACCCUGCCUCUUCUAGAAGUAGUAAUGAAUAUGUAUUAGCCUAGGAGUAUAAAAAUUAGCCGAUCGGCAAGAGCGUCGAGUAG